rnacentral:rRNA from 1 species
UGCCUACGGGGGGCAGCAGUAGGGAAUUUUCGUCAAUGGGCGCAAGCCUGAACGAGCAAUGCCGCGUGAGUGAGGAAGGUCUUCGGGUCGUAAAGCUCUGUUGCAGGUCAGAAAAGAAGGGAAGAGGAAAUGCUUUUCUUUUGAUAGUAACCUGCCAGAAAGUCACGGCUAACUACGUGCCAGCAGCCGUGGUAAUACGUAGGUGGCAAGCGUUAUCCGGAAUGAUUGGGCGUAAAGGGUGCGCAGGCGGCACGGCAAGCCGGCGGUCAAAUCGCGGGGCUCAACCCCGCCCAGCCGUCGGAACU